UAGCAAACUGCUUGGGACAGUAUUAGUUUGUUGAAGUAGCACUUGUAUGCCAAACAAAAAACUAACUGUCCAAUGUUGAAAUGGAUUUCCUCUGGAAGGGCCAGGAUGCUGUACAGUUGCCAUUCACACCUCUCAUGCCUCCAAAAUCUGGGUGAUGAAAAACCCUACAUAGAUAGGAAAAGAAAAAAUCACAGCUGACGAGACACAGAAUGACAAAACAAAGCUCUCUUCCCUGUCCUUAGGAGAAAAUUGUAGCUGCCUGCUCCAGUCCUUGCCUGUGGGAAUUAAAAAAGAAGGUUCAGAAGUAAGGGCUAAAUGUUAUGAAGACCAGAAGCAGCAGCAACUGAGGAGCAGGGCCAGACUGGACAUACGGCGCUGCUUUGUACACUUACAGCUGUGCAAGCAAGGUGAACUCAACCAUUAUAUUAAAAAAAACCAAAUAAUCAAAACCACCACCACCACCAAAGUUACAAACUUUCA